CGGGUUGUAAAGCACUUUCAGUAGGGAGGAAGGUAGUGUAGUUAACACCUGCAUUAUUUGACGUUACCUACAGAAGAAGCACCGGCUAACUCCGUGCCAGCAGCCGCGGUAAUACGGAGGGUGCGAGCGUUAAUCGGAAUUACUGGGCGUAAAGCGCAUGCAGGCGGCCGUGUUAAGUACAGAUGUGAAAGACCCGGGGCCGUUAACCUACCGGAAUUGCAUUUGUAAACUAGGCGAGGCUAGAGUCUUGUAGAGGGGGGUAGGAAUUUCUAGGUGUAGCGGUGAAAUAGCGUAGAGAUCUGAAGGAAUACCAGUGGCGAAGGCGGCCCCCUCGGACAAAGACUGACGCUCAGAUGCGAAAGCGUGGGGAGCAAACAGGAUUAGAUACCCUGGUAG
rnacentral:rRNA from 1 species